GACGAACGCUGGCGGCGUGCUUAACACAUGCAAGUCGAACGAUGAACUUGGAGCUUGCUCUGGGGGAUUAGUGGCGAACGGGUGAGUAACACGUGAGUAACCUGCCCUGGACUCUGGGAUAACUUCGAGAAAUCGGAGCUAAUACCGGAUAGGACCUUGCACCGCAUGGUGUGGGGCGGAAAGUUUUUCGGUUUGGGAUGGACUCGCGGCCUAUCAGCUUGUUGGUGAGGUAAUGGCUCACCAAGGCGGCGACGGGUAGCCGGCCUGAGAGGGUGACCGGCCACACUGGGACUGAGACACGGCCCAGACUCCUACGGGAGGCAGCAGUGGGGAAUAUUGCACAAUGGGCGCAAGCCUGAUGCAGCAACGCCGCGUGCGGGAUGACGGCCUUCGGGUUGUAAACCGCUUUUAGUAGGGAAGAAGCCUUCGGGUGACGGUACCUGCAGAAAAAGGACCGGCUAACUACGUGCCAGCAGCCGCCGUAAGAC
rnacentral:rRNA from 1 species